rnacentral:misc_RNA from 1 species
CGAAACCACAAACUUAAAUAAUCUUAGCCUCCCAAACACCUAUUAUUUAAAAUGAGAAACAUAUAGCAACAGAGGGCUUCCUCAAAGGAUCAAAUACAAACGAUCAAUUAAUUCCUAUAUCCCCAGCGACCAAGUGGUACAACUAGCAACAAUCAUUACAUGAACAAAUGCCAGAACCAUUUUAUAUGGCAAGACCAUUGUAAAGAGUAUGUAAAUGAAAUGCAGAGUAUCUACAGCUUCAGUUGACAUGUUUGUCUCUAAAAUAUCAUAUUUUUGUUACAGUACAGCAUAGUUCACUUUCAUUAUAAUUACUAAACUUUGGCAUUUACUCCUAUCUUUCAUGAAGCAAACAAAAUUUGGAUGAAGCUGUCUAAAAAUAUGUGAAUCAAAGCUAAAUACAUCAGUAGAAGAAAACAAAGAUCCUUCCAGCUAACAAGCCUAGCAAGAGUGUGAUUAUUAUACAAAUGGCUGUUGAUACAGACAAUUUUAUCUGCUUACCAGCCGUAGAUGGGAUUUUCUACUUGCGGAGGCAACAGAUGCAGGUCUUUACAAUGCUGCUUGUCAUAGUUUCGUGUCCCAGGUAUUGCUCCAGUACAGAGUCUAAGGAACUCAUUCCCAGUGAGACAAUAAUGGGCAAAUGCCAACCCUCCAUCAAUCAUCUCGGACAUAUUAGGCAAUGGAACUGCUUUUGCAAUGCUCUUUCCAUUAGUUUUGCUCAAUCUUGUAUCACCCUUGUCAUCAUUCAAGACUUUGCUAAGCUCAGAAUAUUGCAUAAAUCUCUCCGUUGCAGCUUCCCAAGAGAGAUUAUAUCUUUGCUCAGGUGUAAGAGGUUUAGGCUCAUUUGCUAAUGCUUCUUUCACUUUUGCAACAAAGUCCUCAGAUGUCUUGUAAGUCAAACAGUUUGGAAAUGACCUGAAGAACUCAUUUGAUGGGUGAUCAGCACAUACAACAAAUUUUCCCAUUGCAAGCGCCUCAGCAGUCGCUGUGCAGAGCACAUCACUCACACUAGGAUUUAUGAAAACUUUGUACCCAAGAAGCGAAUCAUCUGCAUGGUCUCUCCCAUUCAGAAAGUUGACUUUCAAAUCCAACCUUUUAGCUGCAAUCUGAACUUCACGUGCAUCCUCUCCAUUCCCAAACACAUCCAAAUUGAAGCCAUCCAGUUCAUUUUUGUGCCUUGCUAGCAAAUCUAUCAACUCUCUGUAUCCCUUGGCCCAGACCAACUUACCCAAGAAAUAUGCGCCUUUUGAGAAGGCUUGCUGCCCAAGUUCCCUUUCUGCAGCAAUCUUUUCUCCAAUUUUCAAAAACUUUGGAUUCACACCAUGAACAUUGCAAAUCACGGACUUCGGUAAAUCCUGGGUGGCAGCAGAAAGGCGAAGAACCUUGUUACAAUAUGCUCGAAUAACCCAAUUGUUUAUAUGUUUGACUAAAAAAGCUUGCAGAGCCCCAUUCCUUUCCCUCUUGAUGUAUUCUAGGUAAUUUGUGUGGACAACACCAACAACAUGGUUGAACUUAUCAGUCCAUCGCUUGCCAUGGUGAUACCAAUUUAAAUGUUCUGGUUCUUCCAGGAUGGCAAUGUCAGCGUCUUUUGAUGGAAUAAACUGAGAAGUAUCUCCAGCAGGGAUUAUGCUUCUCCGUUCUUUUGAGAACUUUCCUGGAUAAAAUGAUAUUUUAAAAUCAGCCUUAAAGCCAAUCCUAUCCUCAAGCCAGUUCCGGAUAUAAUUCUCCUGCUCUUCUGGUGAACUAAAAGUGAGAUUGUUGGGAUAAACUAGUUCUUGAUCUGAUUUGCAAAGCCACGGAACUAGUAAAGUGACCUUUUGUUUUUCAGACUUUGAUAAAUAUGCUGCUCGAAAAAGUGGAUUUACAGCUGUGCCUGUCAUCCAAGGAAGACUAGCAGUUGUGACAAUGGCGACAUGCCUCUUCCCGUCUGAUGGGUUAUGCUUUGAUGAGUCUGUCCAAAAACCACCCUCAUAACAAUGCCCUGUACUUUGAAGGACACUUGCUAUCCUUAAAUCCAAUUCAUCAUUCACAUUCUGGUUAUCAAUGAAAGAGGAUUCCCCGGUAGAAAGUGAGCGCUGUAAAAGUUGAUUCUUGCGUUUACUACACAAACUUUCAACUAUCUUGUCACAUAUAUCUCUUCUAACCCCAAGCUGAUCCAAAAAUGGCCCAGAUUGCCUAACAAAAUAUGCCAACAAUUCUGGUACAUCCAGUGGCGGUACUUCCAUCUGCUGUGCACAAAUUUCGCAUGCCAUUGGAUAUUAGACCAGAUAUGAUAAUGCACCAAAUGAAAGAAAUAAACAUUUGCAUUGGCACCUGGCAGUAGAAGAAAACACUACAAGCAUUAAAUGUGUGAAUGGGAUAGGCAUUUAAUAAAUUAAAUUUGAGAUCAAAGAAUGACUGUGUCAGACGCCUAACCUUUGACUCUUGAGGCUCCCGGAUUGCUUUCAAGCUGGAUUUCAAUUUCUCCACAAACUCAUUAUUCUUCAAGCCCCCAAAAAUCUCCACGGACUCGCUCUUUUUCUCCAACUCCCUGAAUCCCCUUUUCAAGGCCCUUAUCGGCUCCCAUUCCCCAAAUUGACCUCCUUCCUCUUUCCACUCUCCCCAAAACUCCCUAAACUUAACAGACCUCCUCCUUCUCCUAACCCUAUCGAAUUCCACAAUCCCAUUUCUAUCCCCAUCUUCCAUCUCCGCCACAAUUGCGUUCCUUAUAGCCGACAAAUCAAUCCCUAGCUUAGCCUUGGGCCCCCACUUCUCCAAUACCCUCUUGCUAAUCUCCGGUGCUGAGUAAACCCUCCUAAACUCCGAAAUCUUAGGCUGCAAUUUCUUCACAAAAUCAAUAUCCGUCGGCGUAGAGGACCUGAAGGAGCGUACUGAGAAGGAAGUGGAGGCGGAAUUGAAGAAAUUCUCAAGCUCUCGAUCGAAGGAGUUAGCGAGGUUCUUGAACGAGUUAGCUCGGUUCUUGAACGAGUUAGCUCGGGCCCGCAUAAGCUGGAGAUCCGCGUCGGCCGAGUCACGAACCUCCCGCCAUCCUUUAGUUAUGAAAGAGAACGCUGAGUUCGUCGACGUCGAAGGUUGCCCCUCGCCGUCCAUGGUACGGUUCCGACUUGAACUUGAGUGAAUUAGGAUUUUUAUUUUUCUUCUUAUUUUCGGUCGCAGAGGGAGCUGCGGAAGAGUAAACAGCUUUGUGGGGUUUUAACGGUUACG